rnacentral:rRNA from 1 species
GAUGAACGCUGGCGGCGUGCCUAACACAUGCAAGUCGAACGAAGCAUCAUAAAGGAAGUUUACGGAUGGAAUUUAAGAUGACUGAGUGGCGGACGGGUGAGUAACGCGUGGAUAACCUGCCUCAUACAGGGGGAUAACAGCUAGAAAUGGCUGCUAAUACCGCAUAAGCGCACAGUAUCGCAUGGUGCAGGGGUCAAAGGAGCAAUCCGGUGAAAGAUGGGCUCGCGUCCGAUUAGCUAGUUGGUGAGAUAACAGCCCACCAAGGCGACGAUCGGUAGCCGACCUGAGAGGGUGAUCGGCCACAUUGGAACUGAGAGACGGUCCAG